GGCCGAUGUCUGUGCUGCGGUCGAUGGCGAAUGUGGAACCAAGGGCAAAUGUGUAACUGAAUGUUCAGCAAAACCUAAUCACGGAACCGUAUCACCUACAUGCGAUCCCGAUUGUACUGGCGCUAGUCUAACGUGUUCCUGGAAAUGUCAAGAGGAACCACCGAAAAGUGGUACAUCAAGACCAUCCAUAUUCCUGCC